rnacentral:lncRNA from 1 species
AGCCCAGCUGCUCCCGAAGAUUAAAAAUAGCCAUGGUAUGACCUCUGCUUCCAAGGGUGAUUGCCCUAUCUCUGUGUCUCCUCGACACCCAAACAAAUUAAGCUUGGAAGUUCCUCCCGUUGUCUAAUUUUAGUCUCUCCUGCUGCAGUUCAGUCUUUUUGAGUCAAACCAAUUCCUACCCUCUCUGCAGAAGUUGAUGAUGCACAAGAUUAUCACAGGCAGUCUGUCUUCCAGCGACAACCAGCCAUGGGCAGCCUUCUACCUGGUGGGACAGAUUUCAAGGCCUCCUGUUCUGCUAAAUGCUGAAACAGCGUCUGGGGUGCCCACCCAUUCAGCGCACUCUGUGACAUGGUGACAGCAUCUCCUCGUCUGCAGAACUUUCCUCAAGAACGGACCAAGGACAAGGGCGGACAGAGCUUGAAAGACGUGAACGCUGUGCCUCUCCAGGAGGAAUCUCCCAUAAUUCUCCAGUUCUAGGGAACAACAGAGUCACCUACUGACACAGUGGGUGUUUUGGUCAAUUUUUGUCCCUCCAGCGAAAAAUUCAUGUGUCAGAAGUCCAGUGGUUAAGAUUCCCCACUUCUAAUGCAGGAGGCAUGGGUCCGAUCCCUGAUUGGGGUGUGCAGGGAGUGUACCCUGGAGCCUAGCACCCUCCGGAGAGGUCCUGCUGACCAGCCGAGGGCAGCAGCCUUGCUGGGGGACGUCGUCUGGGAACCACCACUGGCCGGUUGCCAUGGGUUCAGGAGUCCGAGUGCACAGAGGUUGCCUUGGGGAUGCUGGAAGAGGCAGCAUUUCUGGCCAGCCCAGUGAAAUACCACCUCCCCCAGCGUCUCCCGCCAACAGGAAGAACUUCUUGUGUUCCCAUCUCUCUUCUGCUGCCUCUCUGACCACCUCCCUCCUUCAUCCUGACAAGUGCAAACCGAGUCUCCACGUCGAUGUACUUUCACUGCAUUAAAAUUUCCAAGUUGGUACUUUUCCCAUGUUGAGUGCUCUUUGGGUGGAAUGUGCAUGUUGACAUCCACAAAACCCCUUUUCUGCACAGGUAGGUGGCCUGCAGCUCUGCUCAGGAGGGUCUGGUCCAGUCACAUGAGCCUUAGAGAAUGCAUCCUGCCCCGUGUCCUUUCUAUGUUCCAACACCUGGGAUCCCACUGGCUCCUGUUACAACCGAGCCAGGACCAACAG